rnacentral:rRNA from 1 species
AGCGAUGAAAUCCCUUCGGGGAUGGAUUAGCGGCGGACGGGUGAGUACACGUGGGCAACCUGCCUCAAGUGGGGGAUAGCCUCGAAAGGGAGAAUACCCAUACAUUAGUAAUUCACAUGAAAUACUAAUUAAAGGAGUAAUCCGCUUUGAGAUGGGCCCGCGGGCAUUAGCUAGUCUCACCAAGGC